GACUAAGCGUACACGGUGGAUGCCUUGGCAGUCAGAGGCGAUGAAAGACGUAGUAACUUGCGAUAAGCCCAGAUUAGGUAGUAACAACCAUUUGAGUCUGGGAUUUCUGAAUGGGGAAACCCACGUGCAUAAGCACGUAUCCUUACCUGAAUACAUAGGGUAAGGAGGCGAACCGGGGGAACUGAAACAUCUAAGUACCCCGAGGAAAAGAAAUCAACCGAGAUUCCGAAAGUAGCGGCGAGCGAAAUUGGACUAGCCCUUAAGCUUUACACGYGUUAGACGAACGGUCUGGAAAGUCCGACGAUACAGGGUGAUAGUCCCGUAGUUGACGACGUGUGUUCAGUGAAAUCGAGUAGGGCGGGACACGUGAUAUCCUGUCUGAAUAUGGGGGGACCAUCCUCCAAGGCUAAAUACUACUGACUGACCGAUAGUGAACCAGUACCGUGAGGGAAAGGCGAAAAGAACCCCUGUGAGGGGAGUGAAAUAGAACCUGAAACCGUGUACGUACAAGCAGUAGGAGCAGGCUUUGUCCUGUGACUGCGUACCUUUUGUAUAAUGGGUCAGCGACUUAUAUUCAGUGGCAAGGUUAACCAUCUAGGGGAGCCGUAGGGAAACCGAGUCUUAACUGGGCGUUCAGUCUCUGGAUAUAGACCCGAAACCAGGUGAUCUAGCCA
rnacentral:rRNA from 1 species